rfam:Gossypium raimondii Chr02_contig_1476, whole genome shotgun sequence.
UGUUAAAAUUUCAUCCAUUUGUAAUGUUAAAAAUCUAAAGUGGUUGAUAAAAUAAUGACUCGUGGCAUGCCACAUGUACCCCAUGCUAAUGUACAAAGACCAGUUUUUAUCAGCAAAAAUGGAUGAAAUUUUUAAUA